UCCACCUACAUCCACACCUCCUCCAUCACUGUCCUCCACUGCUCUCUCUGUGUUGUCAUUUCUUAAAUCAAUCUGUGGGUUCUUACUGGUGUUACUGGUUCUGUUAGGGAGACCAUGUGUUCACAGGAAACUUGAAGCUGAUGGGGGAGAAGUUGGAGAUAAUGACAUCACAUACAGUGAGAGAAAAUCUCAAAUCAUCGGCAACAGCCAAUCAGAGGAAGCAGAGAGAGUGAUCCCGUUCCUGUCCACUCAGCCCUGAGAACUGAAGACAUCAGUUAUGGACAAACAGCUGUUUGAACAAACACACUCUGGUACAGCUGCUCUUUAUUCACUAAAAACAGAGUAAUUAUUUUU